rnacentral:rRNA from 1 species
CGUAAAGAGUUGCGUAGGUGGCACUGUAAGUGGAGCGUGAAAGCGUGCGGCUCAACCGCAUUACUGCGUUCCAAACUGCAGAGCUUGAGUAUGAGAGAGGUAGAUGGAAUUCCCAGUGUAGGAGUGAAAUCCGUAGAUAUUGGGAGGAACACCGAUGGCGUAGGCAGUCUACUGGCUCAUUACUGGCACUAAGGCACGAAAGCGUGGGGAGCAAACGGAUUAGAUACCCCGGUAGUCCACGCCGUAAACUAUGGAUGCUAGCUGUGACACACAUCGACCUGUGUCGUAGCGAAGUUAACGCGUUAAGCAUCCCGCCUGGGGAGUACGGUCGCAAGAUUAAAACUCAAAGGAAUUGACGGGGACCCGCACAAGCGGUGGAGCGUGUUGUUUAAUUCGAUGGUAAGCGAAGAACCUUACCAAGGCUUGAAAUCCCGAUAGCAGUUCAUCGAAAGAAGAACCUCAUUUAGUUGGAUCGGUGACAGGUGAUGCAUGGCCGUCGUCAGCUCGUGUCGUGAGAUGUAUGGUUAAGUCCAUUAACGAGCGCAACCCUUAUGUUUAGUUGGAUUUUUCUAAACAGACUGCCCUGGCAACAGGGAGGAGGGAGGGGAUGACGUCAGGUCAGUAUUUCCCUUACGUCUUGGGCUACAAACACGCUACAAUGGCCGGUACAAAGGGCAGCGAACCCGCGAGGGGAAGCAAAUCUCAUCAAAACCGGUCUCAGUUCGGAUUGCAGGCUGAAACUCGCCUGCAUGAAGCUGGAAUCGCUAGUAACGGUAGGUCAGCACACUACCGUGAAUACGUUCCCGGGUCUUGUACACACCGCCCGUCAAACCAUGAAAGUGGCCAACACCCAAAGUCUGAGCUUUGCCUCAGCCUAAGGUGGGGGACAUGAUUGGGGUUAAGUCGUAACAAGGUAACC